CAUGUAGGCAUCAUCAGCCACUUACAGAGCCACAAAAGGACAGUAGUUGUUCAUGGAGGUUUUAAAAUAUACAAGUGUUAACUGAACUGCCAGGGAUCAGGCCACUACCAUUGCUGUUAUUGUCA